ensembl:lncRNA
GUAGCAGCAGGCAGAACUUGAGUUGCAGGUUCAGAACUGAGUCUGAACAUAAACUCUGAAAUAUUCAAGCUUUGAGACCUUUGGCAGAUGCCUCAGCCUCUGUGAUCCUCUGUUUCAUGUCUUUGGAAUGAAGUCAAUGUCCUCCCAGACUGAUGUGAAGCUUCUCCCACCUGGGUAGCUGAGGAUAGAGGCAAUGAACAGAUUGUCAGCUCUGGAUGGUUUCUCCAUUGGAGUGACCUGACAGCCAUCUCUUCAUCCAAGGUGACUCCAGUAAGGAGCUACCCCAGACAAGCACCAAGACCAUUUCAUCUGUGACAGUUCUACUUUAAAAUGCAACAGAGAUUAUUAUCCCCAUUGUACAGAGGAAAAAGAAAGACUAUGAAAGUUUAAGUGGAGGGUGGGGGAAGGGGAAAGGGAAAAAAAUAAGAACCAAGAGAGAUUAUAUAAAGGUGCAAAUUUCCAAUGAUGAAUGUCAUUAUAUUGUAUACCUAAAAUGUACCAAUAAAAUUAAUUUUUAAAAAA